UGGUAAGCCGAUUUGCGUCGAUGCUUAUUUGAUGCACCAAUUAUUGUGAGCAAAUGGAUUUCAUUCAAAUGAUGGCUAUUUAAUAGCAGGGUUUGUGCGACGGUGGCUAAAUUUAAUAUCAGGUUUCGUGCGACGGAAGGUGUUCUUGGUUUGUUUCCUUUCAGUUGUUAUGUUGACCUGCUUUGGUUCUGAAGCGAUCGCUUCCGUCGAAUCGGUUCACGGUCAGGCGCCCCAGCCGAAAGCGAGAGCUGAGCCGCGUAUUCACUUUCAUCUUCAACAUCGCUGCGUGGUGCGUGAGGAAAACCGGGGCAGCCGACCGGCCGAGACGGACCGAUCAAUUUCUUUCGUGAUUAAAAUUCAUGGUAACAUCGUCUGACAUGUCUCGUGAUGCUUUGAGAUGCCAUUCCGGCAACAUUAUUCUUAAAGGUCAUUGAAGAAUAUAAAGCCGUGAGGCAUCAUAAUAUUUGCUGACUCAGAUAAGUUAGUUAGAUUUGCCAGCCGCUCGCGUGCUCUGGGAUGCCGGGUGUAGAGAGGUUAAUUUGGAGUGUGCGCGCACCAGGGAUGGCUUUCCCCCCUCUCUAUCGACCGGAUUUGCGUACGGGCAGAAUCCCCCGAGGGCCUACGCACUACACGCAUCUGCCUGGCCCGCAGAUGGCCUGUAGAAUGGCAUCGCCAGUGACGUUGAACCGGUGUAGCUCUGAUUGGGAAAGGUAGAGGCUACAGGCAAUUAUCUGCGUCAGAUCCUUCUCUUCUCAUGUUCUAGAUUCAUGGGAAACCCAACACAGGGGACCUCCGGCACGAAGGCGGAGGACGGAGCAGGCACCACUCCGGGGAACCCUGCCGCCGUCGGAGGAGAGGAGGAGUAUUAUGAUGUGGUCAGCCAGUACGGCACGGCGGGCAACCAACGACCUCGUCUGGAGGUACUCGGCGCCAAUACAGGACGUUAAGCCCCAAAGGUUGGAGCUAUUGUGCCUCUAUAAAAAAGGGAGGAAUGUGAGAAAAUCACGGUCGCCGUGAGGUGCGACCCGCGCUGCCGAGGUGCAUGAUCGAGCUGAACGCGGCCUGUGUCGCCGCCAUGGUGGCACAAGGCUCGUAACACCACGCAGCGGCAGCGAGGACCAACUCCAGCUGGCCUUGGCCGAGGCCGGCGCCGUGAUGAAACCUCCCCACCCGCACGCACCGGCGAGGCGGCAAGGUGUGGAAAUCUACGCACAAGCAGUGCCCGACCCUCGGGACAGAGCGGUGGCGAAACCGGGUCAGCGUGGGACGACACAGCCCACGUCGCACCUACAGCUGUGCCGCGCGGCGUGCGCGCUCUCUUCCACAUGAACAUUAUGCAGUUGAUUGUAUUAAUUGCACGGCCUUGGAUCGGAACAGGUUUAUAUCUUUGUAGCACUGUAUAACAUAUGAUUGGCGCCGCGUGACGCGCGCGUUUCUUCGACGUUUAAAAUAUGUAGUUUAUUGUAUUUAUGUCGUAAGCACUGCAUUGGAUUGCAACAGUUCUUAUUCUUUUGCCUGGAAUACGGAUCAUAUUAUUUAUUGUCUGUUGAUAAUGGAUUACGAUGUAUUCAACGAUAGAUACGUGCGUAAUAACCUAUUGCAGGACCGACAUCCACAGACUGCAGGUUGUACAGUACUUCAGAGUGAAAUAGGCGAGGGCCUGUGUGUCAAGGAAUGUUCAGCAUCUUACGAUGGUUUCACGGUUU